UUUGAUUCUUUGGUUCAUGGUUUGCAGCAAGUAAUUUUUAUCUAUGCAAUCUCUUGGCGUGGAGUGCCACCUAUGAAUCGUCUCUGUGACCUUACUACUCCCUCCGUUCCAAAUUACUACUCGUGGAGGGAGUACAUGUUUGGAUCGACUCUCAUCCAGUGUCUCCUGAUUAAACCGUUCCUUCACAAAAAAUCCCGAUCAGCGGAACAACAUCAUGCCCCCAAAAAGAUUCCUGCCCUCCCUACUUUCCUUCCACCCGGCCCGACGAACCAACACCCGGCCCGACGAACCAACACCCAGCCCGCCUACCUACACCCGAUGGACCUCACUGGAUCCAUCGUUUUCAGCCCAAUAACCCCCGAAACCCUAGACAUACCAGCUACUAUAUAAUCCCUCCCUCGAACGGCCGAGGGGCACCAGAUCCUUCCAUUCGAAGCGCCGCCGCCGCCAUUCCGCCGAGAUCCCCCGAGCCCUCGUCGCGGAGAUCACCUCGUAUCACCCGUUCGAUAGCCAACAACCCCCCUCGUUUCUCCUUCCUGGUGAGCUUAGAAGGCCGCCUGGCCCUCUACACACCAGGCCACCCUACCGUCCUUGAGUUCAUCGAUGAUCCGCAGCUGGUCCAGGCCAUCGCCCAGAUGGACAACGAGGCGCUGGUGCCAAAUCCACUGGAGAACCUCGCUGCCUACCACGGCCCCUUGCCCCAGAUCCAGUAUCACGCUCCACUGCCACCGCUCCAGGUCCGGCAUCAAGGCCCCCUGCUCCCUCCUCCCCAGGUCCAGCAUCAAGCCCCCUCCUCGAAGACGACGACGACCCCAUCAGGGACGUCUCGAAGCUCUUCAAAGAAGAUGAUGAUUCCCCGGCUCUUGACAUGACCGACCACGUCAAUGACUUGGCUGAAGCAGUGGGAGAUGGCAAGUGAAGCUGCCCCACCCCUUUCAAGUGAAGAUGACGUUUUGCCCGCCUGAAGCAAGAGAUUAUCUGUUCGGUCUAUCUUGAAUGUGAACGUUGUUUAUUCAGUACUACCUGUAGUUUAAGUUAUUUAUGUCUUUGGAGCAAAAUUUUGAAAUGGCUUUGAUCUGUGGAUAGAAAUGUUGACUCUUAUCCUUCUUCUGGUUUAGCUGUGGAUAUAAUGGGUGAAGUAACAUAUAUGCUUCAUGCAAAGUUCUGUCUGGUAGAACUUUUGACUUUUGAAAAAACUAUGUUGUCCGACUGCAGAUCUUUGAAUCGGCUUUGAGCUGAUGAUACAGAUGUUUCUAUCGUA